UGGGUUAAGUCCCGCAACGAGCGCAACCCUCAUCCCUAAUUGCCAUCACGUUGGGGUGGGCACUUUAGGGGAACUGCCAGCGCCAAGCUGGAGGAAGGCGGGGAUGACGUCAAGUCCUCAUGGCCCUUACGCGUAGGGCUACACACGUGCUACAAUGGCAGUGACAAUGGGAUAAUCCCCAAAAGCUGUCUCAGUUCGGAUUGCCGACUGCAACUCGUCGGCAUGAAGUUGGAAUCGCUAGUAAUCGUGGAUCAGCAUGCCACGGUGAAUACGUUCCCGGGCCUUGUACACACCGCCCGUCACAUCAUGGGAGUUGGUUCUACCCGAAGACUGUGCGCUAACUUUGGAGGCAGCAGGCCACGGUAGGAUCAGCGACUGGGAUGAAGUCGUAACAA
rnacentral:rRNA from 1 species